rnacentral:rRNA from 1 species
UACGUAGGGGGGCAAGCGUUGUCCGGAAUCAUUGGGCGUAAAGCGCGUGUAGGCGGUUCGGUAAGUCCGCUGUGAAAGUCCAGGGCUCAACCCUGGGAUGCCGGUGGAUACUGUCGGGCUAGAGUACGGAAGAGGCGAGUGGAAUUCCCGGUGUAGAGGUGAAAUUCGUAGAUAUCGGGAGGAACACCGGUGGCGAAGGCGGCGACCUGGGUCGAGACUGACGCUGAGGCGCGAAAGCGUGGGGAGCAAACAGG